AUGGAGGCCACCAUGCGGGCCUACAGCUUCGCGCACACCGCCACUGCCCUCCUUUGCUCCGCCUCCGUUGUGUCAAGGAACUCCGGCCAUCUCCUGCUCCUCGCCGGCCUUCGCUGUGUGCGCCGCCGCUUCCCUGUUUCAGGCCAAGACCGAUGCCGACCACUGCUUCUAGCUGCGGCUCGGCUACGCACCAACAAUCAGCAGCUCAAGUUGCCUCCAUUCAUCUUAGGUGACCUCCUGAGGCAGAGCCAUGCAAGACCCCAAUGCACCCGUGGGCGUCAAGUACAUCUACCAAAGACUCCCACCGAAGACACGUGA
rnacentral:rRNA from 1 species